rnacentral:tRNA from 1 species
GGAAAUACGUUGAAAGCCUUGUCCGUAGGUGUUUCCAGGCGUUUAUGGCCACGUUGACAUCGUGGGGGUCACUGGUUCGAGUCCAGUUGUGUCCA